rnacentral:rRNA from 1 species
GACGUACGCUGGCGGCGUGCCUAAUACAUGCAAGUCGAACGAAGCUUUUUUAACUGGUGCUUGCACCGACUUAAACAACUGAGUGGCGAACGGGUGAGUAACACGUGGGUAACCUGCCCCAAAGCGGGGGAUAACAUUUGGAAACAGAUGCUAAUACCGCAUAACCACAGAAACCACAUGGUUUCUGUGUCAAAGAUGGUUUCGGCUAUCACUUUGGGAUGGACCCGCGGCGUAUUAGCUAGUUGGUAAGGUAAUGGCUUACCAAGGCAAUGAUACGUAGCCGAACUGGGAGGUUGAUCGGCCACAUUGGGACUGAGACACGGCCCAAACUCCUACGGGAGGCAGCAGUAGGGAAUCUUCCACAAUGGACGAAAGUCUGAUGGAGCAACGCCGCGUGAGUGAAGAAGGUUUUCGGAUCGUAAAACUCUGUUGUCAGAGAAGAACGUGUGCGAGAGUAACUGUUCGUGCAGUGACGGUAUCUGGCCAGAAAGCCACGGCUAACUACGUGCCAGCCGCCGCCGUAA